UUGUCUCAAAGAUUAAGCCAUGCAUGUAUAAGUAUAAACGAUUUUAAUCGUGAAACCGCGAACGGCUCAUUAUAACAGCUAUAAUUUACUUGAUCUUGACAAUCCUACUUGGAUAACUGUGGUAAUUCUAGAGCUAAUACAUGCACCAAAGCUCCGACCGUGCAGACGGGAGGAGUGCAUUUAUUAUUUGAAAACCAAGCGACUUCGGUCGUCUUUUGUUGACUCAGAAUAACUAAGCUGAUCGCAUGGUCUUGUACCGGCGACGUGUCUUUCAAGUAUCUGCCUUAUCAACUUUCGAUGGUAGUGUAUCUGACUACCAUGGUGGUGACGGGUAACGGAGGAUAAGGGUUCGACUCCGGAGAAGGGGCCUGAGAAAUGGCCACUACGUCUAAGGAUGGCAGCAGGCGCGCAAAUUACCCACUCUCAGAACAUUGAGGAGGUAGUGACGAAAAAUAACGAGGUGCUUCUCUACGAGGCGCACCAUCGGAAUGGGUACAAUCUAAACCCUUUAACGAGUAUCUAUGAGAGGGCAAGUCUGGUGCCAGCAGCCGCGGUAAUUCCAGCUCUCAAAAUGCAUAGAAUUAUUGCUGCGGUUAAAAAGCUCGUAGUUGGAUCUGUGGCCGGGAGUCGGUCGCGCUUUCGGGUGCGUACUGCUAACCCGGCCUUGUUUGCCGGUUUUCUCCUCGUCGGUCUUCACCGACUGCGGGGGGUGGCUGGCGAUUUUACUUUGAACAAAUCAGAGUGCUUAACACAGGCGUUUCGCUUGAAUGUUCGUGCAUGGAAUAAUAGAAAAGGAUUUCGGUUCUAUUUUAUUGGUUUUAUAGACUGAGAUAAUGGUUAACAGAGACAAACGGGGGCAUUCGUAUUGCUGCGUGAGAGGUGAAAUUCUUGGACCGCAGCAAGACGAACUACAGCGAAAGCAUUUGCCAAGAAUGUCUUCAUUAAUCAAGAACGAAAGUCAGAGGUUCGACGGCGA
rnacentral:rRNA from 1 species